rnacentral:lncRNA from 1 species
UACGGUGUCACUCAGUUCACAACCCUCUCGUUAAAACCUUGCUCCUUCGUUUCCCUUUGAAAUAAUCAAACAUCCCCAAUUUCCUACGACGAAAAAUUUCCGACAAAAUUCAGCAAAUGGAUGAUCUAAACGCAACGAUACCGGACUUGAAGUAUCGAUGUUUCAUGCUACAGUUGUCGGACCAACUUACUUCGCAAGAUAUUGAAAGACUCAAGUACAUUUUCGCUUCGGUUAUUCCAGCUGGCAAAAUGGAGUCGCUCGACACGACUUUCAAAUUGUUUCAUCAACUUGAACAACUAUUAUUUGUUGGACCAAAUAAUCUUUGGAAACUCGCAAAACUGUUUCGUGUAAUGGGAAAGCAAAGACUUUCUGAUAUUGUUAUCAAGUUCAUCGCAGACAGCGAUAAUUAAUUUUGACUGAGUGUCCAAAAAUUGCCCCGCUCAAUACAUUCUUAAAACUCAGGUUUAUCCUGAUUCUAUAAGCAUGUGUUGUGCGGGCGUGCUUUUCUCUUCAUACAAAAGAAUGGAAGUUUAAAUCAGUGAAUUGACGGCGCGGAGAAAUGAAUAUAAAACGAUUUAAGGUAAGUUUCGAUGAGAAAAUUCUGAGGUCCAGUUUUGCCAAAGGUCUGUAGCCAGCGAGAUGGCAAAUUGUAGCCACUGGUAUCAAGGAAAAGCGAUCUAAGAGGUGUUGAACUGGAAAAGUAGGAAUUUGCACAUCGAAGAGAAGCGACCCUGGUCCGUGGGCGAACUAGUCGCUACCACAGAGGAUAUUAUUGAUUUGAUGAAGAUAUGGACUU